rnacentral:rRNA from 1 species
GAUGAACGCUAGCGGCAGGCUUAACACAUGCAAGUCGAGGGGUAUAACACUUCGGUGUUAGAGGCCGGCGCACGGGUGCGUAACGCGUAUGUAAUCUACCUUUUACAGAGGGAUAGCCCAGAGAAAUUUGGAUUAAUACCUCAUGGUAUUAUGGAUAGGAAUCUAUUUAUAAUUAAAGAUUUAUCGGUAAAAGAUGAGCAUGCGUACCAUUAGCUAGUGGGUAUGGUAACGGCAUACCAAGGCGACGAUGGGUAGGGGUCCUGAGAGGGAGACCCCCCACACUGGUACUGAGACACGGACCAGACUCCUGCGAGAGGCAGCAGUGAGGCAUAGUGGACAAUGGGCGCAAGCCUGAUCCAGCCAUGACGCGUGCAGGAUAACUGCCCUAUGGGUUGUAAACUGCUUUUGUACAGGAAGAAACCCUUCUGCGAGUAGAAGAUUGACGGUACUGUAAGAAUAAGGAUCGGCUAACUCCGUGCCAGCAGCCGCCGUAA